rnacentral:rRNA from 1 species
UACGGAGGGUGCGAGCGUUGUCCGGAAUCACUGGGCUUAAAGGGCGCGUAGGCGGGCCGCCGCGUCCGGGGUGAAAUCCUCCCGCUCAACGGGAGAACGGCCUCGGAUACGGGCGGCCUCGAGGGGGGUAGGGGCGUGCGGAACUGUGGGUGGAGCGGUGAAAUGCGUUGAUAUCCACAGGAACUCCGGUGGCGAAGGCGGCACGCUGGACCCCACCUGACGCUGAGGCGCGAAAGCCAGGGGAGCGAACGGG